ACUCCAAGCUGUGUUGCUUCAGAGAGAAGUUGCUAAGAAGGCUUCUGUUGCAAAUGGCACAAGCUGAAUGUUUCCCAGUGCCAGGCAAUCCCUCACCCAAGACAACUUGUACAGGCCCUUCACAUCCUCUUGGUGCUUUUUCAACACAGCAGCUGUACAGGCUGACUUCUGUCAAUCUGUGUUUUCCAAAGCACCAUCUAUUGAAAAGUCUCUUAUUUCUCCAUUAAAUUUUUUGGCACCUUCAUUGAAAAUCAGUCGAGCAUAAAUGCUGGAACAGCUCAUCAGUCUUUCCUUGAAGUUCAUACUCUUGACAUGUAUCAAGAUUACAGAAAUCUCCAAGUGAGAAGACCUUACUUGUCUUCUGAAAGUCUGAAAAGCUGGGAUACAUGAAGACUGCCAUCCCUUGAGUCACUUGCCCUGUAGCUGCCACUGUUGGAAAAGGGCUUGCUUCUGUGUCCUUGUGCCCACUUUGAAAAUCCCUGGGAAGUCCUUGGAGUCAGAUGAGCAGGCCUCCGCCACUCUGCCAAAAAGUCUGUUCAGAAGUUUCACAUCACUAGAGAAGAGAGAAGAAGGACAUUUGUACUGGGAGGAGUCGACCGGUCCCAGUAAGGAGAAAGUAGCUACAGCGUCAUGGGUGAGCUGGGUCCCCCAAAAAGGAACUUUAAGGGAAUGGACUGAAUCAAGUCUGAGAUGUCCCCAAAGCAAGACCAAAGAACUGAGGAAGAGAAGCAUUCAUCAGAAACCAAAAUUCAGCUACAAGUGAGCAUCCAGAUGGAGGUAUUAUGAAGAGGAACUGAGACUGAGGGCAAAAGGUGCCAGCCAGAAUCCUGGAUAGGAGAGCAAGAACCAGGACCUCAUUUAAGAGACAACCUGCUUAAGGCAGAGUAAGCUUGAUGAACAC
rnacentral:lncRNA from 1 species